UCGGGAAUUUUGGGCAAUGGGCGAAAGCCUGACCCAGCAACGCCGCGUGAGGGAUGAAGUAUUUCGGUAUGUAAACCUCGAAAGAAUGGGAAGAAUAAAUGACGGUACCAUUUAUAAGCUCCGGCUAACUACGUGCCAGCAGCCGCGGUAAUACGUAGGGAGCAAGCGUUGUUCGGAUUUACUGGGCGUAAAGGGCGCGUAGGCGGCGCGGUAAGUCACUUGUGAAAUCUCUGAGCUUAACUCAGAACGGCCAAGUGAUACUGCUGUGCUAGAGUGCGGAAGAGUCAGCCGGAAUUCUUGGUGUAGCGGUGAAAUGCGUAGAUAUCAAGAGGAACACCUGAGGCGAAGGCGGGUUGCUGGGCCGACACUGACGCUGAUGCGCGAAAGCCAGGGGAGCAAACG
rnacentral:rRNA from 1 species